UGCGCAAGGACCGCACGGAAGAACGUUUUCGCGUAGCGGCGCAUAUAGUAAGGUAUACGAGGCGACCGUGAUCUUUACGGAAAACGGUCAAAAUUAAGGGGUGGUGGACGACGACGAUGGUCGAAAAAACGUGUCGCUCUCGUGGCCCUUUAAACAGGGUCGAGGGGGAUUGAUAACGACGGCAACGACAACAGGGUUGUAGAUCGAAGGAAAAAUACACCCAGCUUUUUUUAUUUCUCUCUUUCUUUUUUUUUCCUUUUUUCUUUCUAAAGCGUAUGAUGACGAACGUACGGAUGGUAUUAUCAAUCACCGAGUCACGUUUUUUUUGCGCGGCACAGCUUCACUCAAAAAAUCAUCGGGCAUCGUGAAUUCCGUUCCGAUAGAGGCCGAGCUACGUCCGAAACAUCGCCGAGAUUGUGGCACGAUAUAAGAACCACGAGUUAAAAUCUUGACGGCUUUAGAUUACACCAGGUAGCGUGUAGCAGCACAACGAAAGGGAGCACCAGAGCACUAACUCACUAUAAAGGCUCUCCAACUUGAGGAACGGUACACCAAAAACAAACCACCACCACCACCGCUACCCACCAGCAGCACGUAGCACCACCGGGAUAUUGCCGUUUUAAUAUUUCUUUCUUUAUCUUUUGCUCGUUUCUUUCUCGCUCUUUUUUACUUUUACGGUUUAUUUCUCUCUUUCUAUCUCUAAAUAUUUCUUUUCUUUCUCCGUCUUCUCACUGCAAUCCAAUGGUUAUCUCGUGCGAGAGACGCGCGCGUACCGAAAGAAUAGGUAAGAAAGGGAGGUGGCGGUAUCGCGCGCACGUGUGCGUUAAAAGAGAGUGAGUGAGAGAGUGAGAGAGAGAGAGAGAGAGAGAGAGAGAGAGAGAGAGAGAGAGAACGAGAGUAAAAGCUCCCACUUUAGCGGAAACGUGAUAGUAAUGAUGAUUGUGUACUAAUAGUAAUAAUAGUACUAACAGUUCUACAAGUGAUAAUAGUAAUAAUAUUUAAAAAAUAGUACUUUACGGCACUCGUUUCGGAAGAAUAAUAUUUUUGCGCGACGUUAAAACGAUACAAGAGAGAAGAGGCGUAUAUGUAAGAGUGUAGAAAAGGCGCGGUAGGCGAAAAAGAGGGAAGGAAGGAGUCGUGUACCGCACGCGCACGACUUGACAGCUCGGCUAUCUGCGUGCGACUAGAGUUGUCUUCUCGCCUCGUUGCUUUCCCGAAGGGCCCGCGCCCCCUCUUCUACCGUUGCCGCCGCCCUACCGUCGACGAACGGAGGUAGAGUAGGUAGAAGAGAGCCACGAGUAGAGUCGAGAAAGAAAGACAGACAGACAGACAGACAGACAGACAGACAGACAGACAGAGAGAGAGAGAGAGAAAGAGAGAGAAAGAGAGAGAGAGAGAGAGAGAGAGAGAGAGAGAAAGAAAGAGAGAGAGAGAGAGAGAGAAAGAGAGAGAACGCCUCAGCGCGGGGAGAGCGCCGGGCCGCACCACCGCACCGCACAGUGCCGGUAUACGCGUCACGUAUAUCGUUGGCCAACGCGACAAGGAGCGGACACGAUUAUCGCGCUCCCACCGAUAAAAGGAAAGGAGCCUCCUCGAAUGAAACGUUUGGCGUGACACCAGGAGGACGCAGGAGAUACGAAGGAAAGAAGAGGAGUAGUACCUAUCGAAGAUAUUAGGAAAAACAACAGCACACACUAGGUACGCGCGCGCGCGCAAUGGAAUGGACGGAUGACUCUACAGUAGUAACGGGUCGCGCACUAUGUGUAUGUCAGACUCCUUUGGCGUUUCGGUAGGUACAGAGAAGAGAACGCGCGCGUGUCCCUUUACCGACGAGCGGCACGGUGAGCGAACACGAGCGAGCGAGACGGAGAAUGCAUCGAGCUGAAUAGACGGAGACAGAGAGAACAGAAAGAGAGAGAAAGAGAGAGAGAGAGAGAAUCGACGGUGGGAGGUGAAGGAGGAGGGAGUAAUGGCGAGAAGGAGAGAAGGGGAGGCACGUCGCGUCGUAUAUCCAACACAGCGCACGGCAUAAGUGAAAGUGAUUCAGCAGCAGCAGCGCAUGCCACCGCGCGCGCGGCCAGGUGCCCGCCACCUCCACCUCCACCGGGACCCACCACCACGACGACAACCACCACCACCACUCAAUCGCCGUCGCCGUCGCCGCCGCCGCCGUGUCGGAAUGGAGGUGCCUCAGUACAUACUGGCCCGGUGCUGCUGCUGAUGCUGCCAGUGGUGGGAGGAAACGAGGGAGGGCGAGACGACGGAGGGACGGUACUGCCGCGAUCGAAGGGGGAGGACCGUCGCCGCCACCGCGCUCUGCCGUUCCUUAAGAGGGGAUGACCUACUUACGGAACCAGGUCUAUGUCGGCAGCAAAAGAAUUGUCCACUCGCCGACCUACCGGUUUCGCUCUUGCCCCUUUUCGCUCUGCGCCCUUCGCGUCUUUUUUCCUCUAUCUUCUUUCACUACUCGAUAUCUUCCGACACGUUCCAACAAACGCACGCACGUACGCACGCACGCACAUUGCCCGAUAAUUUAUUUAAGAAGCUCUUUCGUCAAUUUACUUUCUUGACAUAUCCUUCGCGUAUUAAAAACUUAAAAUGCGGGACUAACAUCGACAUCAUUUUUCAUAGAAGCCUCGAGGUAACGUGGUACGAAAGAAAGUGUGCAAGAUAAAAAAAAAAAAAAAAAAAAAGAAGAAAAAAUAAAAAGAAAGAAAAAAGAAGAAAGAGAGAAAAAGAUCAAGCAAGAAGUAAGCAUAAAGAUAUAUAGUAAGGAAUGAGAAAAGCAAAAGCAAAGCAUGUAGAGAAGCAAGGGACGAGUGUGUAAACGGGCUCGGAGCAAGCGCGUGGUAGGUUGCGAGACAACGGGCCGUGGCUGGGUCAACAGUAACGCCGUUGGCACUCCCCGACAGAGGCAGUGGCUCUCAGUGUGUGCGUAUACUUGGUAGAUGUACGAGGCAAAAGAGGUGGGGAGACCCACUGACCCAGUUCGCUGAGAACAUGACGCAGCCGCGACUCGCUCCCUCUCGUUUCUUCUCUCCUCCUCCUCCUCCUCCUCCUCCUCAUUCCUCCAACCACCUCUAUUCCCUCCCCUCAGACCCUCACCGCACUAUAUUCCCUCUCUGCGGCGCUCUCGCUCACGUACAUGCCGGAGGCACACGCACGCCGUCACCGCCGCCCACCAUCGCAUCCGUCGCACACCAAGUCGUUGCGUCGCUAUUUCUCUCUCUCUCUCUCUCUCUCUCUCUCUCUCUCUCUCUCUCUCUCUUUCUCUGGAUACGCGUUUCUCGCUCCUUACAAUUAGUGCUGCCAUGGGUCCUCUUUCUUCACCCUUCUUUUUCUUUUAUUCACCCCUUCAAAGACGUUUCUUACGAUUCUAACAAUUUUUCUACUCCUUUCUCUCUCUCUCUCUCUCUUUAUAUCCCUAGAUCGUCGUUCCUCACAUGUCGCAUAAUGCUGCACGUAAUGCACACAUACUUGUCAACCAUGAAUGCACGCGCAAGUGCGUGUCGUCAUCGUCUUUGCGUGUCCGAAUGCUUGCUAGAAUCAUUUUCAAACGCAAAGAGGAGCCUCGAGUUUAUCGAAGAUAAAGAUAGAUAUAGAGAUUUUUUCUCCUUUUCUUUUUUCUUUUUUUUUUUUUUUUGGAGCUUUUUACAUAGGGACGAUCUCUAAUAGAUGGAUGGAUCGAUCGAUCGAUCGAUCGAUCAAUCGAAGGAUCGAUUGAAAGGAAGGAGAGAUGAGAAACCGCGAUGAGAUUAUACCUGUAUAUAAAGUUCUUUGUUCGGGCAAACACGAAUACGAAAUACCUGGACUGGAUUUUAUUUUGACCGUGGCUAUACGAUGAUAUUUACCGCAGGUAAAAAGCAUCGGCGAAAAAAAAUGGCGGACUGGCGGCGGCGCUGCCUACUGAUUGUGAGCGAGCCAAAGUGGGGGAGGGGUCUCGAGACGAAAACGAAAGGAAUACGAUCGGAACGUACGAAAGGGACGACGGAAGAAGGAACGAAAGAAAGUGAAAGCCAUGACCCAGAAACGCAAAGCAUCGAAGGCUCUUCGUCGUCGUUGUCGUGUUGUAUCGCUGUUUCAGAAAAGAACGACUCGAAUCGAUCGAGAAUACGCGAAGAAUCUAUCUUCUUAUCUCUAUCUCCCUCUCCCUCCACCCCCUUUCUUUCUCUAUCUCUCUAUCCAUCUAUCUAUCUAUCUAUCUCACGUAUGCGACGACGAUUAUUCGAAAAAAUUCUCACUUCGAUGGUCUCUCUAAGAAGGAUGACAAAUAUCGAUUGGAAAACAUCAACACACAAAGUCCUUAGUUGUUCGGCAUACUUUGGCCAGUUAUUUUUUAACAUCAUAUACGCGAUAUACGCCGGUAUUCCGCGCUACUGGCCGAUACAACGACAACGAUGAUACGCUAGCAUAAACUCGCGAUAACGAUAUAUAUAUAUAUGUCCGAUGUUAUACGACAGUAAAAUGAGUUCGUAAAACCACGAACAGUUCUUGCCCGUAUGGACAGAAAUUAUGCGAACAUUAUCAGAAUUACUCUAUUUCUAGGUCGAUUAGUAUUAUCUAUCGUAAUCCUUCCAACUGAAAAUACAUGUAUAUCGUUUUUCAUCUGUUACCCGGGACAUAAGCAUAAGAAGAACGAUUUCCUUCAUCCCAUUAUUUCUCCCAUUACUUAGAAAGAAAUUCGCAAAAAUUCUAUUAAAGCGGUGCUAUCAUCGAGGAUAUUUUCUUUUUCUUUUUAAACGCAACUGGUACAGGUGCGAUAUCUAUAACUUGUAAUAUUCAACACAAAAGCGUGCUCGCUCCAUACCCCCUUACUCUCCUCCCACCCCGUAGUCUUCGUUGCUCACCCCACCCCCUCUUUCUCUCUUCCAACAGCGCGUCUCGCUGUGUGAAGUGUGCCAAGGCCUACCCCACUCCGUAAUCCCAUUUUCGAAACUAAAAGUAAAAUCUAACUCAUUGUACGAUUUUACACGUACUCUGUUGUGAUAUAUAUAUAUAUAUAUAUAUAUAUAUAUAUACAUAUAUAUAAAUAAAUAUAUUUUCGUUUCAACGUAUAUGUUAUAUUUGUAUACAUAAAGUCUUUCAAAUUAUAUUUCUUACUUCAUCUUACAUAGACGAACGAUUUAAUCUGUCCUUUAUCCAUUUCAACGAUCGCGUUUGAAUUUUCGACAUUUACAUCUUCUAAAACGAUGAUCGAUAUCAAGCAUGCUAUUUGUCCUGCAAUUUUCGUUCAGUAGGACUUGGACGAUUUUACCAAGAUAAGCUAUUUUCCUUGGCAAGCGAUUGAUCCUCAGAAUUACGAUCAGGUCUUUCGCGAAUUCGUUACAAAUUUAAAGUAAGAAUCGUUUUUUACAUAGAGAGAAAUAGGAGAAGAAAAAACGAAUGUUAAUGUAGAAAAUAUAUGUAUGUGUCUCGAUUAUAAAACGACGUACUCAGGCGCCUAUUGAGUUUUCGAAACGUGGCAUACGUCACAGGUAAAAAUAUAACUGACUUUUAAAUAAAACUGUAGGAAAAGAGAGGAGCGAUGAGAAGAGGAGAGCCAUCAGAAAGAGAGAGAGAGAGAGAGAGAAAAAGAGAGAAAGAGAGAGAGAGAGAGAGAGAGAGAAUCAGAGAAGAGAGAAACAUGUAGGACGGUACCAUCCAGAAAACGUAAAGUGCCGUUUUACAGGUCAGUUCGCGCGUCCUUGACACAGAUACCCACAUCGCGAGUUUCAUCGAUGUGUGUGUAUCUCUACGUUACAUAUUCCACUCGUCGCCAUACGUCGUGUGUUAUGCAUGUAUCUUAUUAUGCAUGUGUAUGUUACCUACAACGAUGACGACGACGACGACGACGACGACGACGGCGAUGAUGAUGAUAUCCCUAUAUACGAUUGUAAGAAAGGAGAGAGAGAGAGAGAGAGAGAGAGAUUAGUCUCGAGAUGUGGAUGCUGUAUUAAAGUAUAGAAAAGAGUAUUAUAAUGUUGUGUUGGACGAUGCUGCAGUCGAGUAAGCGAUAAUGCAUCUAUACUAUGCAUCUAUACUAUAUAGGUUCUCCAUAGUCGAGCCGAUCGUUCGGAGAUAUUUGAAAGGAAGAAAAAAAAGGAAAAAAAAGGAAAAAAAAGGAAAAAAAAGGAAAAAAAAAGGGAAAAAAAAGGAAAAAAAAGGAAAAAAAAAGGAAAAAAAAAGGAGAAGAAAGAAGAAGAAAUGGUAUAAGGAUAAAGUAAGAAAUGUGUUUAGAAAGCGAGAAAAUUGUUAGAAUUUUACUUACAUUUACGUAAAGAUCUUACGUUUUUGAAUGAUAAUUAAGAUGAUGGAAUAGGGGAAAGAUAAAUUUUCUACUGAAAAAUGAAUAGAACGUAUUAGAAUAAAGAAGUUGUUAAACUUGAUAUGGAUGGUUCUCAUAAAUAAAGAUCAGCGUAAAUAUUGUGAAUACACAAAGGUAUGCCCCUAAAUAAUGGGUUCCAAUUUGUCUAGGUAGUUCUAUUUCAGAAUAAGCUCCUUUAGUUUUAUAGAUUAAACACAAUGGAUUCUGUAAGUUUCUCUUUUACGGUUAAUAAAAAUCGUAUACAUUAAGUAUAUUUGGAUAUGAUAAGGACGAAGGAAGGGAGGAUAAAAUAGAAGGGGCAGUUGGACUUCUCCUGAGAAAAGUCUUUCUACUUUGCAAAAAAAACAAAAAAAAAACAAAAAAACAAAAACAAAAACAAAAAUAAACAAAAAAAAAAUAAGUAAAAAAAAUAA